rnacentral:lncRNA from 1 species
GAAUGGCUUUGCUGUUGUAAGGCCCCCAGGCCAUCAUGCUGAAGAAUCAACAGCCAUGGGGUUCUGCUUUUUUAAUUCGAUUGCAAUUGCUGCCAAAUACUUGAGAGACAAGCUAAAUAUAGGCAAGAUAUUGAUUGUAGAUCUGGAUGUUCACCAUGGCAACGGUACACAGCAGGCUUUUUAUGCUGACCCCAGCAUCCUGUAUGUUUCCCUCCAUCGCUAUGAUGAAGGCAACUUCUUCCCUGGCAGUGGAGCCCCAAAUGAGGUUGGAAGUGGCCCUGGCGAAGGGUAUAACAUAAAUAUUGCUUGGACAGGUGGCUUGGAUCCUCCUAUGGGUGACGUUGAGUAUCUCACAGCAUUCAGGACUGUGAUUAUGCCAGCUGCCAACGAGUUUGAUCCAGAAAUUGUCCUGGUGUCAGCAGGAUUCGAUGCUGUGGAAGGCCACGACCCUCCGCUGGGCGGGUACAAAGUCACAGCGAAAUGUUUUGGCCACCUGACCAAGCAGUUGCUGAAGCUGGCGGGUGGCCGCGUGGUGCUGGCGCUGGAGGGAGGACAUGACCUUACUGCCAUCUGUGACGCCUCUGAAGCCUGUAUAAAUGCCCUUCUAGGAAAUGAGCUGGAACCUCUCCCGGAAGAUAUUGUGCACCAAAUCCCCAAUAUGAAUGCAAUAGCUUCUUUAAAAAAGACCACUGAAAUUCAAAGCAAGUACUGGAAGUCAGUGGAGCCAUACUCUGUGCCAGUGGAUUGUGCUCUGGCUGAGUCUCAGAAGCAAGAGAGGGAGGAAACAGAAACAGUAUCUGCUAUGGCCUCUCUUUCAGUGGAUGUUGAGCAGUGUGUUCCUCAGGAAGACAGCAGAGCUGCUGGUGAGCCCAUGGAAGAAGAGCCAGCCUUGUGAAGUGCCAAGUCCUCCCUGAUAUUUCCUGUGGGUGACAUCAUUGUGUAUCCCCCAAAGCACCCUCAGACAUGUCUUGUCUGCUUCUUGGGUGGCACAGAUCAGAUGGAACAUAAACACUGGGCACAAAACUCGGAAUAGCAGCUUCACUUGUUCUUUGGAUGGACUUGAAAGAGCCCGAAAGAUUCCUUAAAUGUAACCGCCACAAUUCUGGAGUUACAGUAAAACGGACUUGGGAGAAAGAGCCUAGAGCAUGUAUUUUAAUGCUGUUUGACCCACUCACCAACACAAAUUGUGAAAUAGAGUAUUGCAAAAUUCUACAUGAUAGAUUAUAGAUAUGAGAAUUGCAACAGCCAGCAACAUACUCUGUGAACUCCAUGAAUCACUUUCUGACACUUUUUACUGGAUAAUUUUUUUCAUACUGUGUUAAAUUGUUAAUAGAAUUUGUUUUCUUUGCUCUGUGUAAUGAAGAAAAAAAAAACCCCACCCUUAUUUUACGUGCCAUUUUUUAACCUCCUGUAAUGAAUUCUUAGCUGAAUAAGUGAAAAGUGUUUAAAUUAUGAUGAGGGAUUUUAGCUAAAGGGAAAGCACUUCUUAUUGUACUAUAAAUCCCCUGAAGUACUGUGCUUGGUGGUGCUUUAUUUUCUCUUCCCUAUUCCUGGCCAUCCCGCCCCAUUUCAUGUAAUCUUUUCUAUCAUAAAAACACACUCACGGUUCUCUACAAUGAUCUUUUGCCUUUAAGAAAACGUGCUGUACCCUCCGUAGUUGACAGUAGCGCUCACCAUAUGUGCAGCAGAGAUCAAGUAUGGAUAGUUUUUCAAACGUGUUUUUGGUUUGUUCUGAAAUGUUUCUGCGUUCUGACUCCAAAGCAGCGACCUUCCGUAACUUCAGUGCAGCUCAUUUGAAGCUCAGGUGUUUCUGUGGAGGUUGUGUGGGAGUGUUUUUUUACAGGUCGUGAUGUGGAUACGAACUGAUUCUUUUAUGUAGUCCUGCACCAAGAGAA